rnacentral:rRNA from 1 species
GACGAACGCUGGCGGCGUGCUUAACACACGCAAGUCGAACGGAAAGGCCCUGCUUUUGUGGGGUGCUCGAGUGGCGAACGGGUGAGUAACACGUGAGUAACCUGCCCUUGACUUUGGGAUAACUUCAGGAAACUGGGGCUAAUACCGGAUAGGAGCUCCUGCUGCAUGGUGGGGGUUGGAAAGUUUCGGCGGUUGGGGAUGGACUCGCGGCUUAUCAGCUUGUUGGUGGGGUAGUGGCUUACCAAGGCUUUGACGGGUAGCCGGCCUGAGAGGGUGACCGGCCACAUUGGGACUGCGAUACGGCCCAGACUCCUACGGGAGGCAGCAGUGGGGAAUAUUGCACAAUGGGCGGAAGCCUGAUGCAGCAACGCCGCGUGCGGGAUGACGGCCUUCGGGUUGUAAACCGCUUUCGCCUGUGACGAAGCGUGAGUGACGGUAAUGGGUAAAGAAGCACCGGCUAACUACGUG